AGUGAGCGUCCAACACAUAGAAGUCCUUCAGUGAAGAUCAAUUAGUGAACACUAUCAUGAAGAGUUCCUUACAGUCACCGCUGUUGGAGUACACUUUGAUGUAUUGCAUAAGUCAGCAUAGCAACAGCAGGGAUAUAUGUAUUUGUCCCGCAUUCAAGCAUCUCUCUGAAUGCUUUUAAAUACCAGAUUGUACUAUCCAGACCACCAGGAAUUGGUAUUUAAUAACACAGCUAGCAAGAGGUGUGGUAUUCCAGCAAAUCCCACCUGUUCCCUGUGCAGACCAGGAGCAAGGCACUGUGUGGGACAUUCUUGUGAACAUCCAUCUCAUGACCCCUUGAGCACUCAUGGGAAGCUGGGAUUACAUUAGAC
rnacentral:lncRNA from 1 species